AUACGGGAUGUUACUCAGUUACUUGGUAUAACUGCGGUAAUUCUGGAGCUAAUACAUGCGACUCAGCCCCGAGCCUUGCGGCGAGGGGCGCUUUUAUUAAAUCAAAACCAAACGGCCUCGGCCGUCACUUUUGCCGAUUCUGAAUAACUUUUAGCUGAUCGCAGGGCUUCAUGCCGGCGACGUAUCUCUCUAAGGUGUGCCCUAUCAACUGUCGACUGUGGCAUAGACGCCCACAAUGGUGGUGACGGGUAACGGGGGAUCAGGGUUUGAUUCCGGAGAGGGAGCCUGAGAAACGGCUACCACUUCUAAGGAAGGCAGCAGGCACGCAAAUUACCCACUGGCCGAAGGUCGAGGUAGUGACGUGGAAUAACUAUACGGGACUCAUCCGAGGCCCCGUAAUAGGAAUGAGAACAAUCUAAAUCCUUUAACGAGGACCCAUUGGAGGGCAAGUCUGGUGCCAGCAGCCGCGGUAAUUCCAGCUCCAAUAGCGUAUGUUAAUGUUGCUGCAGUUAAAAAGCUCGUAGUUGGAUCUCGGCGGGUAGGGGGCGGUUCGUUGAUCUGACGCUACUGCCCCGCUCUUACCCGUGAAUCUCUUUGGCGGAGGCUUUUUCCAGGGUGCUCUUCACCGGGUGUCG
rnacentral:rRNA from 1 species